UAUAAGUUGGUUAACAACAAAGAGAAUAAUGGUGACAAUGACCAGAUGGUUAGAAAACAUUAAAAUGUAAUUUCCAGUGUCCCUCUAAAAAAACUUCUUUUUCUGUACUUCGGUUAUUCAAAAAAUAUACAACUCUUACAUACUUCUAUCAUCCUAGGAAAUUGCAAGUUCAAGGCUACACAUUUACUUCACAGCAGCAAAUCAAAGUAAACCAUAUCCUUACAUCAGUUUGAAGUCUAUCAUUUUUACAGACAGGACAGAACUAGAUCUACAGAGAAGAAAACAUAAAAGAGGCAAAAUUUUAAACAGCAGGAAAUCAAAAUGAAAGACCUGGUGUUUGGUCAGGCUUCUGCAAAUGGCAUGGGCUUUAUUGAUGUGAAGAUCAAAAGGCAGGUACAGUCCACAUCCCUAACAGUCGAUUCCUGCUUCUACAACAUCACUGUCAGUACCUGCAGUCUUGACAGUCUCACCAACUUUAUGCACAUUCACAAACUGACGAUAGUAACUACUUUGUAUAUACAUUCCCAAAACUGAAAACCAGGAAUCCACAUAUGCAAACGCUUAUUAACAAAGCAAAAAAGAGUGUAUCCUGCUUUCUGCAAUGAGUUCCAUAUAUUUAUACUUCAUAGUCUACAUAUACAUAAU
rnacentral:lncRNA from 1 species